AACCAGACUCCUACGGGAGGCAGCAGUGGGGAAUAUUGGGCAAUGGGGGAAACCCUGACCCAGCAACGCCGCGUGAAGGAAGAAGGCCUUCGGGUUGUAAACUUCUUUUACCAGGGACGAAGAACGUGACGGUACCUGGAGAAAAAGCCACGGCUAACUACGUGCCAGCAGCCGCGGUAAUACGUAGGGGGCAAGCGUUAUCCGGAUUUACUGGGUGUAAAGGGAGCGUAGACGGCAGUGCAAGUCUGGAGUGAAAGGCGGGGGCUCAACCCCCGGACUGCUCUGGAAACUGUACGGCUGGAGUGCAGGAGGGGCAGGCGGAAUUCCUGGUGUAGCGGUGAAAUGCGUAGAUAUCAGGAGGAACACCGGUGGCGAAGGCGGCCUGCUGGACUGCAACUGACGUUGAGGCCCGAAAGCGUGGGGAGCAAACAGGAUUAGAUACCCCGGUA
rnacentral:rRNA from 1 species